CGGGGAUUAGUUUAACGGUAGAAUAGGCGCAUGGGGUGCGUCUGGCUGGGGUUCAAUUCCCCGAUCCCCGA
rnacentral:tRNA from 1 species